GUUGAGAUCCUCGACGAUGAUGUCUAUCUCGGUGCUGAGAACAACUUCAACUUAUUUACAGUUCGGAAGAACAGCGACGGAGCAACGGAUGAGGAGCGGGGCCGACUUGAGGUUGUUGGGGAGUACCACCUUGGUGAGUUUGUCAACCGGUUCCGUCAUGGCUCUCUGGUCAUGCGCCUUCCCGACUCUGAGGCCGGCAAUAUCCCAA
rnacentral:misc_RNA from 1 species